UACGGGGGGGGCAAGCGUUGUUCGGAAUUACUGGGCGUAAAGGGCUCGUAGGCGGCCAACUAAGUCAGACGUGAAAUCCCUCGGCUUAACCGGGGAACUGCGUCUGAUACUGGAUGGCUUGAGUUUGGGAGAGGGACGCGGAAUUCCAGGUGUAGCGGUGAAAUGCGUAGAUAUCUGGAGGAACACCGGUGGCGAAGGCGGCGUCUUGGACCAACACUGACACUGAGGAGCGAAAGCCAGGGGAGCAAACGGG
rnacentral:rRNA from 1 species